ensembl:processed_transcript Gas5 growth arrest specific 5
GACAGCCCCGAGCCAAAGGGGCGGAAGGUCGCCGAGUGCUGGGAGGGGAGGUGGGGCAGCGACUGAGCGCCGCAGGAGCUGGCUGCAACCCAGACGCGGCCCGGGAGCGUCGGGAAUGGCAAUGUGGACCUCUGUGAUGGGACAUCUUGUGGGAUCUCACAGCCAGUUCUGUGGCAAAGGAGGAUGAAGGUUUAUGAGGACUCGUCAGGAAGCUGGAUAACAGAACGAGCGCAAUGUGCUAGAAGACCAGAAAAUGAAAUGGUGGAGUUUGAGGCUGGAUAGACAGUUUGAAAGGGCUCCUGUGACAAGUGGACAUGCAGUGACUGUACCUUUGUUUCUGAGGUGCCUGGAUGGAGGCUCAAAUAGAAGAUGGUGUCAGAUAUAUUGUGUUGUCAAAAUUUUACCAUUAAAGUGUAUUAUAACAUGAA